CCUCCAGGUCCUCCCUCCUCCCUGAGCGAGGGGAGCAUGGCCAAAUGACGGAGAGGUGAUUCAUCAUUGGUCUACGACAGCUGCAAACUGGAUUAGCCCUCCCCCAAUCAACAUGCAAAGCGGCUUAGCCAAGGUGUUGGAACCCAUCGAGCCCCGCGCGGUUCCUCAGGAGACUCUGUCGUAUUUGAGGAGUUGUCCGAUUACUGCUUCAGGCGGUGACUGGUUGGCCCCCUCAUGGAAACGAGACUUCAUCUGAAAUGGCUGAUCCAGUUUUUUAAGAGACUCCAAAUCUUAACCCCGUUCAUCCAAACUGAAGGUCCCAGCUUCACCUCAUCAGUAGAGCCCUUCACCUCCAACAUGAGGCCUGCUCGUCUGUCUGCAGGUCUCCUCAACAGCUGUCAUGAAAACCAAACAGACAGUCUUAAUUGGUGUUCCAGACUCAAGGAAACUGGACUAAAAUAUUUGCAUAAUUUCACAGAGGAUGAAGGAAAUUGUUAAAACAUGUGAGCGGAGGCCCUUGUGUGGUGCUGUAACCCUAACUCUGGACCAGGUUGCUCUUGGGUGCCACCCUGUGCCGAUGGUGCCAGGAGGGAACGGAGGGAGCUGAGGGGGGGUUAAAAGGUCAUUGGAACUGAUCUUAUCAGUUUCUCCUUUUCACAUGGCUCAGGGCCAAAGACGACCUGACACAGUCGAAGCUCGGUCCUACCAAUGGAAAACUGAGAUUCUUUUACUGAAAUACAGAAAUAAAAUCAACAGUUUUAUGAUUUAUCUGUUGGUGUUUAAUUAAUUUUGUAUUUCAGAGACUUUUGAACACAAACAAAUUUGUCCUUCGCUUCUCCAUCCAGUCAUCACCUCAAACUCACAUUUCCUGUUAUUUCCUGACAUGAAUAAAAAGUUUGCUGCGUAUCUUUGUGCUCCUUCCGUCACGGGUGUAGUAACAUUCCAGUGUCGGACUUUUUCUGUGAGACGUUCUGCUACUAGCAAUGU